GCUCGGCCCUAAAUCUAGAUGUUCCCACUACCCAAAACAUCCGCCCGAGAACUACGAGCACAAACGCUUAAAACUCUAAGGACUUGGCGGUGCUCCAAACCCACCUAGAGGAGCCUGUUCUAUAAUCGAUAACCCACGAUUCACCUAACCCCUUCUUGCCCAAAGCAGCCUACAUACCGCCGUCCCCAGCUCACCUUCUCUGAAAGCCCCACAGUGAGCACAACAGCAUCCCGCUAAUAAGACAGGUCAAGGUAUAGCCCAUGAAGGGGGAGAAAUGGGCUACAUUUUCUAAGAUAGAAAAUAUUAACGGAAAGGAAUCUGAAAUAAACCCCAGAAGGANNNNNNNNNNNNNNNNNNNNNUAAGAAUACCCUCUUAAAUUUGGCCCUGGAGCACGUACAUACCGCCCGUCACCCUCCUCACAACUACCAAAUACCCCCUACUUAAGCCUGAAACAAAAAGUUAAAAGAUGAGGUAAGUCGUAACAAGGUAAGUGUACUGGAAAGUGCACUUAGCAUCAAGGCGUAGCUAUAACGCCA
rnacentral:rRNA from 1 species